UACGGAGGGGCGAGCGUUAUUCGGAAUUAUUGGGCGUAAAGGGCGCGUAGGCGGCUUGACAAGUCAAAGGUGAAAUCCCUCGGCUCAACUGAGGAACUGCCUUUGAAACUGUCUGGCUUGAGGCCGGGAGGGGGUAGCGGAAUUCCCAGUGUAGCGGUGAAAUGCGUAGAUAUUGGGAGGAACACCAGUGGCGAAGGCGGCUACCUGGACCGGUUCUGACGCUGAUGCGCGAAAGCGUGGGUAGCAAACAGG
rnacentral:rRNA from 1 species